CAGUAGCCGCGGGAAUACAUAGGGUGCAAGCGUUAAUCGGAAUUACUGGGCGUAAAGCGUGCGCAGGCGGUUAUAUAAGACAGAUGUGAAAUCCCCGGGCUCAACCUGGGAACUGCAUUUGUGACUGUAUAGCUAGAGUACGGCAGAGGGGGAUGGAAUUCCGCGUGUAGCAGUGAAAUGCGUAGAUAUGCGGAGGAACACCGAUGGCGAAGGCAAUCCCCUGGGCCUGUACUGACGCUCAUGCACGAAAGCGUGGGGAGCAAACAGGAUUAGAUACCCGCGUAGUCCCUGUCUCUUAUAC
rnacentral:rRNA from 1 species